AGACACUCUUAUAUUCUAUUGCGAGUUGUAUGGGUGUCUGAAAUUCAGACACGCGUAUAGCCCGCAAUAGAGUAUAAGUGUGUCCGAAUUUGAGACAUCCAUAUAUAACUCGCAAUAGAAUAUAAGAGUGUCU
rnacentral:miRNA from 1 species